AAAUAUAAAAUUUUAUGAUUUAAAAAAUUUAUUUUAAGUUUAUUUUACAUAUAAAUUUUAGUGUUAAUUGUUAUUAUUUUAAAUAAUUAAUAAUAUUUAUUUUAUAGUAAUUAAUAUUAAAAAUUUAAGAAAUUAAGAUUUAGUAAUAUUGAAAUUAAUAACAAAUUUUGUGCCAGCAGUUGCGGUUAUACAAAGGUUAAAUUAAAUUUUAUUAGUUAUUAAUUAAUAAAUGAUUUAUUUAUAUUUUAAAUUUUAGAUUAUUAGGUGAAAUUUUAAUUUAAUUAAAACUUAUUAUAGAUUUAUGAUUUAAUAAAUUUUAUAAAAAACUAGGAUUAGAUACCCUAUUAUUAAAAUUUAAAUUAAAAUACUAAAAUAGUAGAUAUUUUUUAUUGAAACUUAAAUAAUUUGGCGGUAUUUUAGUUUAUUUAGAGGAACCUGUUUAAUAAUUGAUAAUCCACGAAUAAAUUUACUUAAUUUUUAAUUUUGUAUAUCGUUGUUAAAAAAAUAUUUUUUAAUAAAAAUAAUAUUUAAAAAUUUUUAUUUAAAAUUAAAUCAAAUCAAGAUGCAGAUUAUAGUUAAGAAUAUAAUGGGUUACAAUAAUUUUUAUUUAUACGGAUAUUAAUUUUUAAUAGUUAAAUUGAAAGUGGAUUUAAAUGUAAUUUUGUUUAAAUUAAUAAAAUGAUUAAAAAUUGAAAUAUGUACAUAUUGCCCGUCGCUUUCAUAUAAUUUAAUUAAGUUGGGAUAAGUCGUAACAAAGUAGAGAUACUGGAAAGUGUUUCUAGAAAGUUCAAGUUAGAG
rnacentral:ncRNA from 1 species